GGAAGCGUGUGCUAGUGAUGGCACAACUGAACAUCGAUCGCUAACGUUAGAGGCAUGGCAGAUCUGCUCAGUGGGUGUUGUCACAUUGUCGUAAAGCUUCAAGUAGCUUGAGUGUCAGACUCCCGAUUGCGCAUGCAUCUUCGUGGCUCUCACGGAUUUGCAUGCCCGCACGGUCGAGUCUUCACGUCACUCCUCGAAGUACCGCGAUUUCCAAAUUGGGGGGCAAUCGAAUAGGUCAGACGAGGUAAUUUGUCGCUUCCAUAUGCAGGCACCGCAGAUGGUGGCUCGCCAUUUUUUG
rnacentral:snRNA from 1 species